AAAUUAACAUAAAUAACUAUUAUUAUGAGCAUGGUCUAAAAGGGUCUGUUUUAGGGCUGCUCCCAAAUAGUCGACUAAACGUUAGUCGAUAUGAAGAGGGCUUGGUCGAAUACAUUUUCAUUAGGUGGUUAGUCGCAAAAAAAAAAAAAAAAUAUUACGUGAAAAAAUUACCCAAUCAGGGGCUUCGCAGUCAGUGUAUGACAUGACAUCAAAGCAAGAGAGAUCAAUGAGAUCUCGUGUCUCGCGGUAUACCAAAGCACACUUGAGGGAGAGGUGUCUGGCUGAUGCUAAUAAUUAUGUCAGGAAAAAAGUCCAAAGUGUGGGAUCAUUUUGAAAAGUCGAAGGACGACCCUAAAAAGGCUGUUUGCAAACUCUGCAGGCAAACAUUUGCCUAUCACUCGUCAACAUCGAAUAUGUCUUAUCAUUUAAAACAUGCUCAUCCACAAUAUAGCAGCAAUGAUGUGGCGUCGUGCGCUUCGACUUCGCAGUCAACAAUGAUGCAGCAGAGAUUCGUUUUGAGACCGCCUCUAAGUGAGAAAAGAAAGCGAGAAAUUACAGAGAAAAUUGUCGAUUUCAUUGCGCUUGAUAUGAGACCAAUCAACGUUGUCCGUGGUGACGGGUUCAAAGAAAUGUUUGAAUUCCUCGAACCAGGCUACACCAUUCCCAAACGCGACACAAUAAUGCAUGGCUUAACAAGCAAGUUCAACACGACUAAAGAAAUUCUUGUUAAGAAAAUUCAAAGUUGUACAGCAGUCAGCUUUACAACAGACACAUGGACCUCUAUCAAGAAUGAGGGUUACAUGACCGUUACUGCACACUUCAUGUCUGAAGAUUGGCAACUACAUUCUUUUGUGUUGGAAACAAAAGUGCUGGAGGAGAGCCACACAGCUACCAACAUAAAAGAGUGACUCAGUGAAGUGGUUGAAGAAUUUAAAAUACCUGCAGAAAAGAGGGUAGCAGUCGUACAUGACAAUGCCGCUAAUAUGGUGUUGUGCACAGAACUGAUUUCUGAUGAUCCAUCCUGGGGUAAUGCGAAGGGCGUCCGUUGUGCAGGGCACACGUUACAGUUAUGCAUAAACGCGGCUCUUAAAACUGACCCCAUAUGUCAAUGCAUCGCUGCUGCUAGACGCCUUGUGUGGCAUUUCAAGAAAAGUACUAAGACUACAACAGCUCUGACUCAUAAACAGAAGCAGCAGAAUGUUGCAGAACACAAACUUAUCCAAGAUGUCUCCACAAGAUGGAACUCCACGUACUUCAUGCUGGAGAGACUCUUGGAACAGAGAUGGCCGGUUACAGCUGUGCUGUCAGACCCUGAAAUUACCAAACGUUCUGAACGAGGUCUAGAUCUCACAACAGCACAUUGGCUGACAGCGGAGGACACGGUCGCAGUGCUCAAGCCUAUGGUCACUCUCACUGAGCUGCUUUCUCAGGAUUUAAACGCAUCCCUAUCUGCCACAUUGCCCAUGUUAAUCAACAUGAAGAGGCGCCAUUUGGUGCUGCGCAACGAAGACAGUCCCACCACAAAAGCACUAAAGACAGAACUAGCAAAAGAAAUUGACACGAGAUGGCAACUGACGGAGAAUAUCGCGACCAGCAUUUAUAUUCAAGCUGCUGUCUUAGACCCACGUUUUAAGAGCUUGUCAUUCUUUGACCAACACGAACGAGAAGAUGCGUACUCCACAGUGUCGGAUCUGGCAGAAAGUUUAUCUACAGAAACUGCGCCAGAAAGUGAUCAUGACAGCAUUAGCCCCGCAGAGGAGGGUGAGCCCGAACCGAAAAAGGAAAAGCAGGCCGAGAUAUCCAUGCUGAUGGCCAUUGAUGAGGAGGAGCAUGCAGAAGAGAAGGAUGAAAUAAAAAUGUACUUGGCAGAUAAAACAAAGGUUGAUUCGGGACCAUUGGCAUGGUGGCAAAAAAAUGAACACAGAUAUCCAAAGCUCGCUAAAGCAGCUAAACGACUCCACUGUAUCCCUUCCACAUCCACUCCAUCAGAGCGCAUAUUUUCAAAGGCCGGCUUCAUUGUGAACAAGUCGAGAAGCUCCCUUCUUCCCAACAAUGUGGACAAGCUGGUGUUCCUCUCACAUAAUAUGAAAAAAUUAAAAUCGAAUUGAAAGCUUAGGUCUUUCUGUAACAGAAAAGCCAAAAGAAGUUGACAUCACAGAUGACACAAACAAUAAGGGAUUGAUGCUCGGUGGUGUUGUUCUGGCUAUUGCUGUGUUUUUUCUAGCUACAGUCAUUGCAGGAGUUAUCAUUCACCAUCACGCCUGGCAGAAAGGAUGGAACGCAGCCAGACGCUCAUCUCUAAAUCGUCACAAUUCAGCUAAAUGACUCAUUUGUCUGCUUUAUUUUCCUGUCUGAGCAUUGCACUGUCAGCUAAACCUGAAUUACUGUUGAUUACUAACUAAAAUAGACAACUGUGUGCCCUAAAUGCCCAAAUGUUGACCAGAUCUUCUUUCACUUCUGAGAAACUGAGAUGUUUUGACAGAUUUCACCUUUUUGAGCCCCAGUGAAACAUUAAUUGUUGUGGUUAUUAUUCAGGUUUGUGCAGUUCAUCUGUGCUUGGUAAUAAUAUUCAGUUUAAGAGCUGUUACUGCUUCUGCAACAUAUUUUAAUGUCAAUACACAAUAUUCAAGCUAGAGUAGUAUGUCUUAAAGAAUGUUUACUGUAAUAUAGAGAUUGAGCCAAAAUCCUUACUAAAGAAAAAAAAAAAAAAAACAGCAGCUGUCAUCUGUCACAGCCAAUAUAUAUGCUUUAAAAUCAUUAAACCAGCAGGACUAAAAAUAGUAUCUGGCUGCAUCUUUAGACAUGAUAUAUAUAUCUAGAUUAUUAUUAAUAUGUACAUGUAAGCUGUUUUCAAGAUACAAUAUAAAUGUGACUCUCUUCUAUCCCAGACAGCAAGCAAUUUCGGCCCAGGUCUGGCCCACAUCUGGCCCACAUGGAUUUCAUGCGGGCCAGAUGUGGGCCGGAUCUGGGCCAAUACUAUGUUGCUGUCUGGGAUGGCACAUACAUUUUGAUUAAAUUAAAAUGCGAACAUAUGUCUUAAUGUUCCAUGUAUGCUUUUGAGUUCAAAUAAACAGCAGUAAAACUGUGAAACUGUGUGUUUGUGCAUUUUCUGACACAAAACCAGAUCAUGCUAUUUCUCUUCAAACACAACCAUCUUCAAACUUCAAGGAAAAUGGGCUUCGACCCUUUUUACACA